GACGAACGCUGGCGGCGUGCUUAACACAUGCAAGUCGAACGGAAAGGCCCUGCUUUUGUGGGGUGCUCGAGUGGCGAACGGGUGAGUAACACGUGAGUAACCUGCCCUUGACUUUGGGAUAACUUCAGGAAACUGGGGCUAAUACCGGAUAGGAGCUCCUGCUGCAUGGUGGGGGUUGGAAAGUUUCGGCGGUUGGGGAUGGACUCGCGGCUUAUCAGCUUGUUGGUGGGGUAGUGGCUUACCAAGGCUUUGACGGGUAGCCGGCCUGAGAGGGUGACCGGCCACAUUGGGACUGAGAUACGGCCCAGACUCCUACGGGAGGCAGCAGUGGGGAAUAUUGCACAAUGGGCGGAAGCCUGAUGCAGCAACGCCGCGUGCGGGAUGACGGCCUUCGGGUUGUAAACCGCUUUCGCCCGUGACGAAGCGUGAGUGACGGUAAUAGGUAAAGAAGCACCGGCUAACUACGUG
rnacentral:rRNA from 1 species